rnacentral:rRNA from 1 species
CACGUAGGGCGCAAGCGUUGUCCGGAAUUAUUGGGCGUAAAGGGCUCGUAGGCGGUUUGUCGCGUCGGGAGUGAAAACACGGGGCUUAACCCCGUGCCUGCUUCCGAUACGGGCAGACUAGAGGUAUGCAGGGGAGAACGGAAUUCCUGGUGUAGCGGUGAAAUGCGCAGAUAUCAGGAGGAACACCGGUGGCGAAGGCGGUUCUCUGGGCAUUACCUGACGCUGAGGAGCGAAAGUGUGGGGAGCGAACAGG